AUUCUUUUAGUAUCAAGCAGUACAGCUGNNUUCCAAUCAGCUAGUUUCGGUCUAACCCGAAAAAGAAUA
rnacentral:tRNA from 1 species